UACGGAGGGUGCAAACGUUGCUCGGAAUCAUUGGGCGUAAAGCGCACGUAGGCGGACCGCUAAGUCGGAUGUGAAAGCCCUCGGCUUAACCGAGGAAGUGCAUUCGAAACUGACGGUCUUGAGUAUGGAAGAGGGUCGCGGAAUUCCCGGUGUAGAGGUGAAAUUCGUAGAUAUCGGGAGGAACACCAGUGGCGAAGGCGGCUCACUGGCCCGGUACUGACGCUGAGGUGCGAAAGCGUGGGGAGCAAACAGG
rnacentral:rRNA from 1 species